rnacentral:rRNA from 1 species
GUGUCAGCAGCCGCGGUAAUACGGGGGGUGCGAGCGUUGUCCGGAAUCACUGGGCGUAAAGGGCGCGUAGGUGGUCUGAUAAGGGUGUGGUGAAAGCCCGGGGCUCAACCCCGGGUCGGCCGUGCCGACUGUUGGACUAGAGUGCUGUAGGGGCAGGCGGAAUUCCGGGUGUAGCGGUGGAAUGCGUAGAGAUCCGGAGGAAGACCGGUGGCGAAGGCGGCCUGCUGGGCAGUUACUGACACUGAGGCGCGACAGCGUGGGGAGCAAACAGGAUUAGAAACCCUGGUAGUCC